rnacentral:rRNA from 1 species
GAUGAACGCUGGCGGCGUGCUUAACACAUGCAAGUCGAACGGUGAAGGCGGAGCUUGCUCUGCUGGAUCAGUGGCGAACGGGUGAGUAACACGUGAGCAAUCUGCCCCUGACUCUGGGAUAAGCGCUGGAAACGGCGUCUAAUACUGGAUACGAGCUGCGAAGGCAUCUUCAGCAGCUGGAAAGAAUUUCGGUCAGGGAUGAGCUCGCGGCCUAUCAGCUGGUUGGUGAGGUAAUGGCUCACCAAGUCGUCGACGGGUAGCCGGCCUGAGAGGGUGACCGGCCACAAUGCGACUGAGACACGGCCCAGACUCCUACGGGAGGCAGCAGUGGGGAAUAUUGCACAAUGGGCGAAAGCCUGAUGCAGCAACGCCGCGUGAGGGACGACGGCCUUCGGGUUGUAAACCUCUUUUAGCAGGGAAGAAGCGAAAGUGACGGUACCUGCAGAAAAAGCGCCGGCUAACUACGUG